ensembl:miRNA MIR374B microRNA 374b
AUAUAAUACAACCUGCUAAGUGUCCUAGCACUUAUCAGGUUGUAUUAUCAUU